rnacentral:rRNA from 1 species
GGACAGCAGGUCAACAUUCCUGCGCCACAUGCUGGACCGAUGGAGGGACGGCGUCUGGAAGGUGAGGGGACGGAUAGAAAUGUCCCUCGCCGGUGUGGAAGGUAGCUGUAGGAAAAUCCGCAGCGACAUCCGGAAGCAUCGGACAAAGACGCUUAUGUUUCGAUAGUCAUCCGAAGGACGUCCAAGAAAAGCUUCUAGGGUUGAAGGCAUGUGACCGUACUAAAACUGACACAGGUAGGCGGGACGAGAAGUCCUAGGCGCUCGGGAGAACACUGGUUAAGGAACUCUGCAAAAUGGCCCCGUAAGUUCGCGAUAAGGGGUACCCCCGUUGGUUAACGCUGAUGGGGGUCACAGUAAAUCGGCAUCAGCGACUGUUUAUCAAAAACACAGGACUCUGCUAACUCGCAAGAGGAUGUAUAGAGUCUGACGCCUGCCCGGUGUUGGUAGGUUAAGGAAGAGGGUUCGCCGCAAGGCAAAGCCCGCGACCGAAGCCCCAAUAAACGGCGGCCGUAACUAUGACGGUCCUAAGGUAGCGAAGUUCCUUGUCGGGUAAGUUCCGACCUGCAUGAAUGGCGUAACGACUGAUGCACUGUCUCAACCAGUGACCCGGUGAAAUUGUAGCCGUGGUGAAGAUGCCACGUACCCGCAGUGUGACGGAAAGACCCCGUGAACCUUUACUGUAGGCUGAUAUUGGUCUCGGACGUGUUCUGUGUAGGAUAGGUGGGAGGCUUUGAAGUGGUGGCGCUAGCCAUCAUGGAGCCAACGUUGAAAUACCACCCUGAAUUCGUUUGAGUUCUAACUCUGAUUCCCGUGAAUCCGGGCAGAGGACAGUGUCAGUUGGGCAGUUUGACUGGGGCGGUCUCCUCCAAAAGAGUAACGGAGGAGUUCAAAGGUACCCUCAGCCUGGUUGGCAAUCAGGCAUCGAGCGCAAAGGUAGAAGGGUGCUUGACUGCGAGACUCAUACGUCGAGCAGAUACGAAAGUAGGACUUAGUGAUCCGGUGGUCCCGUGUGGAAGGGCCAUCGCUCAUCAGAUAAAAGGUACUCCGGGGAUAACAGGCUUAUCGCUUCCGAGCGUCCAUAGCGGCGAAGCGGUUUGGCACCUCGAUGUCGGCUCAUCACAUCCUGGGGGUGGAGAAGCUCCCAAGGGUUUGGCUGUUCGCCAAUGAAAGUGGUACGUGAGCUGGGUUCAGACCGUCGUGA